rnacentral:rRNA from 1 species
AUUGAACGCUGGCGGCAUGCCUUACACAUGCAAGUCGAACGGUAACAGGUUAAGCUGACGAGUGGCGAACGGGUGGGUAAUGUAUCGGAACGUGCCCAGUCGUGGGGGAUAACUGCUCGAAAGAGCAGCUAAUACCGCAUACGACCUGAGGGUGAAAGCGGGGGAUCGCAAGACCUCGCGCGAUUAGAGCGGCCGAUAUCAGAUUAGGUAGUUGGUGAGGUAAAGGCUCACCAAGCCGACGAUCUGUAGCUGGUCUGAGAGGACGACCAGCCACACUGGGACUGAGACACGGCCCAGACUCCUACGGGAGGCAGCAGUGGGGAAUUUUGGACAAUGGGCGCAAGCCUGAUCCAGCCAUGCCGCGUGCGGGAAGAAGGCCUUCGGGUUGUAAACCGCUUUUGUCAGGGAAGAAAAGGUUCUGGCUAAUACCUGGGACUCAUGACGGUACCUGAAGAAUAAGCACCGGCUAACUACAUG